rnacentral:tRNA from 1 species
GCGACACUAGCUCAGUUGGUAGAUCUACAACCUUGUUAAGGUUGAGGUCACGCCUAGUUCCUUGAAGAUCAGGAACCUCGUGUGUCGCUCCA